rnacentral:misc_RNA from 1 species
GAAUGAAGAACGUAGCGAAAUGCGAUACGUAGUGUGAAUUGCAGAAUUCCGUGAACCAUCGAAUCUUUGAACGCAUAUUGCGCUCGAGGCUUCGGCCGAGAGCAUGUCUGCCUCAGCGUCGGUCCAUCCCCUCACACCCUCCCUUUGUUUUACAAGUGGGCUGGGCUGUGGAUCUGGCCGUGUCGGCUGCCCAUUGUGGCCGAGUCGGCUGAAGCUCAGAGGCUUGAGCAAGCGCCCAUUCAACCGGGCAUCAACUAGGUGGGUGGCCUUCGGGCUGCGAAGCCGUUGAUGGCCGGGGGACUUGCUGGGGGCCUGCAGGAACACCGCCCCCCCGACAGGAGGGCUGGUGGCGACUCACCUUUCGACCUGAGAUCAGGCAAGAACACCCGCUGAACUUAAGCAUAUCAAUAAGCGGAGGA